CCUACGGGCGGCUGCAGUGGGGAAUAUUGGACAAUGGAGGGAACCCUGAUCCAGCCAUGCCGCGUGUGUGAAGAAGGCCCUCGGGUUGUAAAGCACUUUCAGUGAGGAAGAACGCCUGGUGGUUAAUACCCAUCAGGAAAGACAUCACUCACAGAAGAAGCACCGGCUAACUCCGUGCCAGCAGCCGCGGUAAUACGGAGGGUGCGAGCGUUAAUCGGAAUUACUGGGCGUAAAGCGCGCGUAGGUGGCUUGAUAAGCCGGUUGUGAAAGCCCCGGGCUCAACCUGGGAACGGCAUCCGGAACUGUCAAGCUAGAGUGCAGGAGAGGAAGGUAGAAUUCCCGGUGUAGCGGUGAAAUGCGUAGAGAUCGGGAGGAAUACCAGUGGCGAAGGCGGCCUUCUGGACUGACACUGACACUGAGGUGCGAAAGCGUGGGUAGCAAACAGGAUUAGAUACCCCGGUAGUC
rnacentral:rRNA from 1 species